rnacentral:rRNA from 1 species
GUGGGGAAUAUUGGACAAUGGGGGGAACCCUGAUCCAGCCAUGCCGCGUGUGUGAAGAAGGCCUUUUGGUUGUAAAGCACUUUAAGCGAGGAGGAGGCUACCGAGAUUAAUACUCUUGGAUAGUGGACGUUACUCGCAGAAUAAGCACCGGCUAACUCUGUGCCAGCAGCCGCGGUAAUACAGAGGGUGCAAGCGUUAAUCGGAUUUACUGGGCGUAAAGCGCGCGUAGGUGGCCAAUUAAGUCAAAUGUGAAAUCCCCGAGCUUAACUUGGGAAUUGCAUUCGAUACUGGUUGGCUAGAGUAUGGGAGAGGAUGGUAGAAUUCCAGGUGUAGCGGUGAAAUGCGUAGAGAUCUGGAGGAAUACCGAUGGCGAAGGCAGCCAUCUGGCCUAAUACUGACACCGAGGUGCGAAAGCAUGGGGAGCAAACAGGAUUAGAUACCCCAGUAGUCC